AACCCAUCAGUUCAACAUGAAAUACACUGACCUUAACUCGUCAAUAAUACCGUAUUUUCCUGGUCAAUGUUCCAACAUAUAAACCCACAGCGACAACACGUUAUUUGGAUACGGAUGAAUGUGAACGGCCAAAGCGAACUCGACAUUUGGGUCUCCUGUAAGAUGAACUCCAGUACUGUGAACUGUAUCUAUAACUGGAUUGAUGUCUGUGAACGCCAUGUGCAGAGGGAAACCAGAUAACU